UGCUGAGAUGAAACGCCAUGACCAAGA
rnacentral:piRNA from 1 species